CGCGGGAUUAAAUAUAGGAUACCGAAUUAUACAUCUUUGUCUCUUCUCUCACUUUCUCAUUUUUUUUUCUAUUUUAUGAAUCUUGCGUUCAUAUACGAUUACAUUUGUAAUCUCCAUUUUUGAAAAGUCCGCGGUACGUCACGUGGCCGCGCUACGUAUGUCAUGGCGCGUGUCAGCCUCGUGUGCGUUCUUUUCUCCAACGUUACGUCUCCACCGUCACAUAAUGAUAAAAGGAGAUUACAGACGACCGGAAACGUGACGUGUAUAUUAUAUAUAUAUAUAUAUAUAUAUAUAUAUAUAUAUAUAUAUAUAAUAGAUUCGUUAAAUAUUUAUUCGAAUGCGUAAGCGUAUAUAUAUAGUGUGGUCGUUGUGUGAAAAUUGUGUGUAAAUAAUGUAUCAUGACGUGUAAUUUUUUUUCUUUCUUUUUUUUCUUUUUUGUCAUUUCUUUUUUUUCCUUCAUUGAAAUGUCCUCUCUCUCUCUCUCUCUCUUUUUCUCUCUCUACCUGUUACUAUACUACUCUUUUUACCUAUUUUCUCUUAUCUCGAAAACAACAAAUAUCAAACGGAACGGAAGCGAGCAAAUGAAAUUGGACACCGCGUCCUUUCAUCUGCUUGCAGCAACCUCGGAUUCUUUUGUUCGUCUGUUCUCUUUACCGUACCGAAGAGAAAGAGAAUUCCACGCUCGCUUGUGUUUCUAGUUAACGACAUCAUCGUCGUCGCCGUUGUCCAUCGUCGCCGUCCCGUCGUUACUGUUGCAAUAGUAUUGGAUAUAUUACGAGAAAGAAAUCGCGUUCGAGAUUUUUCGAUAUAUCUCAAGGUCGAAAGUAAUUUUCAAUUUGCACCGAUCUUUGAAAAUGAAAUUUCUUUUCCUUUUUUUUUUUUCAACCUUUUAUUCUUUCCUUUUUAAUUAUUUAUAGAUUUUUGCUAUCCAUAUAAUUUCUUUGAUCAAUUUGAAAUUACGCUUCGUUGAAAUCUUAUUAUAUUAUGUUAUAUCAUAUUAUAUAUAUUUCUUUCUUUUUCUUUAUUCUUUUCUUUUUUAUGACUCAUUAAAAAUCUCAUUAGUUUUUUACAUCGAUCAGAUUUUUAUUACGCUAAGUGAUUUCAAAAUCAUCGAUGACAUGAGAACGAUCGUAUAAAUUAUACAUAAUUAAUGAGGACGACGUGAGAAAUAAAUUAAAAAUUUUUUUGUCUUUUUCCUUUUUAUUUGAACAAGGUCGAAGCUAACAAUAAUAAACAUAUUCGAGAAUGUCUAGACUAAACGAUUCAUUCAUAUGUAUUGGAUGAUGUCUCUCAGUGCGUGUCCGAUAGGUCUUGCAUUCUUUACCAGGUCGCAGGUGACACAACAUCCGGCGUACUUCUCUAUACUUCAUCCUUGAGUACAAUUAUUUGGUUCAUUGAGAAAACUGUGUGGGCACUAUAUACAUAACUCUUUCUUUUUCUUUCUUUCUUAUAUAUGGCAUACCUAAUAUACAUAUAUGUGUGUGUGUGUGUGUGUGUACGCGUCCAUAGCCUCUCUUCUCUACUAUAACCGUGUGAUUCAUCACACAGAGGACACUUGACGCUUCUUCCUCUCUAUUAAACGUCUAUGUGCGUGUGUAUGUGUGCGUGUGUAUGCGUGCGUGAGUACGCGCGCGCGUGUACGUGCUUGCUCGCGAUCGAUUCCUUGAAUUCCGGAACACGAAGUGAGGGGAUGGUUCAGAAAAAGUAUUUAGUCAAGAGCACGUGAUGAAUCAUUCGAAAAUCUUCUUUUACGUCUUUUGCGUAUGUUCAAAUUGGUGCGUUAGAAACUUUAUAUAUAAUGAAUUGUUACAUACGUUCUUAAACAUAUAUACUCGCAAUCAUAUCAAUCGUAAUAUUAUUUAUUAAAUUCUUUUUUCUUUUUUUUCAAAUCUUCAAUUAAAUCAAAUUAAAUUAUUAUUAUCGUAAAAAAGUGAUAAAUUGUAUCUACUCGCGCGUGCGUGUUCGUUGUACGCUUAUAUUCAUGAAACGGUAGUAUUACUUUUAUUAAGUCUUGUUUUUUUUUUUUUUACUUUUCAAUCGUGACAUUUCUAAGUCAAUUAUUUUUAUAGUCAAUUAGUUCAUUUAUCGUUGCAUCGGAGACAACAAUUAAUUAUCUUUUUUCGUUUCUCUUCCAAGCGUGAAACUCGGACGUAGCAACGAAAUUGGGAUGAGGGGAAAAAAAUGGCGUUCGGAGUUAAUUAAAUCAAAUCAAAUGAAACCGGAUCAAAUUAAAUUAAAUCCGAUCCGAUGAAAUCAAAUUAAAUUAUUAUUAUUAUUAUUAUUAUUAUUAUUAU